AAUGUCCUUGAUGACCAAAUCCUAAAGGUAACACCUACUAUGUACUUGAGAGGUCAUUAUGUUGCAACAUUUUUACUUGGAAGUGAAAAAAUACACAACUUGUUACUAAUAGAUACUGGAAAUUACUUUACUUGGUGGCAAUGUGCACCAUGCAUUGAAGACAAAUGUUACAAACCACAAUUUUAUACAAUAUACAACUAUACCACAUCAAACACAUAUAGAAGUUUGGAUUGUGUUACAAAUAGUUCAACUUGCAUAACAACCACCUCUGAUUUUCAUUGUUCAUUAGAAACUAAAUCAUGUUUCUAUGUACAUGUCUAUGACAAUGGUGAAACAACAAAAGGAUUCGUCGCGUCGGAUAUCAUAACAUUUCCAUCAGACAAUACACAAGCAAGGAUUAAUUUUGGAUGUAGUGUUGAUCAAAAAAGUGGUAGUGAUUUUAGUGGUACAUUUUCUGGGAUUGUUGGUCUAAGUAAAAAAUUAAGUGCAAAAACAACAGGAGGAUAUUCAUUACCAUCACAAUUAGGUUCAUCAUUAUUUGCAUUAUGUCUACCAAGCUCAAAAUCAACGCAACCAUCUAUACUAACGUUUAAUAAAGCUCCUUGGAUAUAUGGAACAGAGGCAAAGUUUGUGAAAAAUCGAUUAAACCCUCAUUUAUACUAUGUUAAUCUUUAUAAAAUUUUCAUCAACGAUAAGGAAGUCCCCGUGGAUCCAUCGUGGUGGAGUGGUAAGAAAGAUGAUCAUGGUGCAAUGGUUGAUACAGGGUCGUUGAUAACGCGAUUUCCUCAUGACUUAUACAUAGUUUUUAGAUACAUAUUUAGAGAAGAAAUGAAAUAUCCAAUGUUACAAUAUCCUAUUGGUGUAUUUGAUACUUGUUAUAAAGAAGAAGAGAAUGAAGAUAUGUAUUUUCCAAUUAUAAGGUUUUAUUUUGGGAGUGUGUCACAUAAACAAGAGUUGAUGUUAGUACAAGAGAGAGUUGUAGCUGAUUUACAAGGGUUUUAUUGUUUGGCUUUUUUGCCAUGGGAUGAUAAAACAACACUUAUAGGGUCACAUCAACUUCAAGGCACAGGAUUAACUUUUGAUUUCAAAAAUAAUGCUUUGACUUUUAGUGUUGAUGCUUGUGAUUAAUGAGCUAUGUAUAAGAAUUAUUCAAUCAAUAAAUUAUAUGCUUUUUUUUUUAUUUUAGUUAUGCCAAAUACUUUGUUAUUUAUGAUUGAUUUAUGGGUCAUUGUGUACGUUGGAUUCUUAUGGAUAUUGUAGAUUUUGUUGACUACUUUAAUGAAAUGGAUGGAGUAUAAAUCUCAUUCUUUCUUGCAUCUCAAUCGCGUAUCUGAUAUGUGUGGCACAAAUGCAUUUCGUGAUGUGACGUACACAAAAUAAUAUACAAAUAUAAUACGCGGUACAAUCAUAAAUAUAAAGAUGUAUAUGUAUAUAACCAGCUAUUAAUAUUUGUGCAUAUAUUGGGCCCGUGCGUACACAGGCAACUGUCAUUGGGUGUGUGAAAGAUAAGGAAUUGGGUAUUGGGAGAGGAUUAAUGGGUAUUUGGGCCGGGUUUGGAGGAAAAUUGGAUUGGGUUUGCAAUUGAUUUGGGCUAAGAAAAAGAUUUAUCACUUGAAAAAAAUCGUUUCAUGAUUCGUUCAAUCCAUUUAUGUUUAUGCGAGUUAAUAAACAUAGUCAUUUCCCUUUAAUUACUUGAGCUUAUUUCGAUCCACCAUUUAAUAGUUUUACACCGAAUUUCAAAUCUAAUACAUUUAUAUACAUGUAUUUUUGUUACCAGAAUACAAAUACAUAAUGUUAGUUGGAUAUAUGAAUAUUGUAUAUCUUGAAUAAAUUACACCUAUUUUAACUCAAUACAAAUGAGACAUAUAUCUCUAACGGCUGAAAUGUGACACGAAUAGUAAUUAUAAAAAACUCAUGAUCUGAUAUUAAACCCUAAACGAAUAAAAUUUAUAUUGUUUGUCCUUUUGAACCUGAGUUUAUAUGUUUACCAAACGAGUAGAUACCAAACCAUGCACACCCCAUAUGUGUUUACCAAACAAGUAGAUAAGUUAUACAUCAAUUUGACCAGUUUAUAAGUUUAGUCAAACAUCCUCGUAAAUCAUAUUAAAAGUUAAAGGAGUCAAUAUGUAAUUACUAUAAUCUUUGGGGGCUCAAGUGAAAUUAUCUUGUACAAAUGCUGACCAAAUAUACUAAAAAUAGAAAGAGGAAAACAAAAACAUAGUGAUAAAGAACUCAUCACCACAGAGAGAGAGAGGAGAAAAGGAAAAAAAAAUGGUGCUUAGUGCUACAGUACCCAUCAUCAAUGGAGGUAUCAACAUAAGGGCAAAAUCGGAAUUUCAUCAUUCACCUGUUAGAAAGCAUCUCCAGGGAGAGAGAGAACAAAGAAGGAAGUGAUCAUGGUGGAUCCUUUAGAAGCCAAGCGAUUAGCUGCGAAGCAAAUGGUGGAAAUCAAAGCUAAAGAGAGAUAUCAA